UCUAAUUCUGGUUCAGCUUCAAUGGUUCAAAUCUGUGUAAUAACAUUUUAAUUCUAUUUAUCUACUCUGUAUGCAGGUUGUGGCAUUUAAGGCCAACUUUACUUCCAUCUCACUCUCGAACCAGCCGUAAGGAAAGAUGUCACAAUUCAUAUUAAGAGGAGCAUAUGGUGAUAAUCAAAGGAAAAGAAAGGUGCUCAAACAUUGCAAUGAAAGCAAAAUACAAAUAUGGUGAUAGAAUAUUAUGUAUCGAAUAAUGUUUUUCAUUAAAUUUGUAGCGACUUUUGAUUUUGAAAUAUGUAUCUUUUGAUGUGUUGGAUAUGUCUUUUAGUUUCUAUAGAAAUACUUUGUUAUUUUUGGUUUUAUAUUAAUUGUAUUUUUGUAAA